AACGUAGGUUCCGAGCGUUAUCCGGAUUUACUGGGCGUAAAGCGCGUUCAGGCGGUUUGACAAGUCGGGCAUGAAAUCUCUCGGCUCAACCGGGAGAGGUUGUCCGAUACUUUCAGACUUGAGGGCAGUAGAGGGUGGUGGAAUUCCGGGUGUAGUGGUGAAAUGCGUAGAUAUCCGGAGGAACACCAGUGGCGAAGGCAGUGUCCUGGGGAGCAUCUGACGCUCAGGUGCGAAAGCUAGGGGAGCGAACGGG
rnacentral:rRNA from 1 species